GUGCUCACUUCAGCAGCACAUAUACUAAAAUUGGAACAAUACAGAGAAGAUUAGCAUGAGCCCUGCACAAGGAAGACAUGCAAAUUCAUGAAGCAUUCCAUAUUUUU